CUGUACUCUUCUUGUUCUCCAGUCUAGUUUGGUUACAUGAUAGCAUCUAUGUUCAAGGAAGACCUAGUUGUUUGAACCAGCAGCAUAGAAGGCUGGCACAAGUAUUGAAUUUGAACAAUGCAAUUGAGCCUGGAGUAGAUGGACAGAACUUGAUUGCUUAUUUUGAUGAACAUGAAGGUGAAACCAACAGAGAUAGAUACGAAGAAAAUGAAUUCAUUGGAGUGAUGUACUGGGUUCGG